UGCCCGGUAGUGUAAUGGUAGCACAUCAGAAUUUGGGUCUGAGUGUCAUGGUUCGAAUCCAUGCCGGGCAG
rnacentral:tRNA from 1 species